GGAGGGUGCAAGCGUUAUCCGGAUUCACUGGGUUUAAAGGGUGCGUAGGAGGGCAGGUAAGUCAGUGGUGAAAUCUCCGAGCUUAACUCGGAAACUGCCGUUGAUACUAUCUGUCUUGAAUACCAUGGAGGUGAGCGGAAUAUGUCAUGUAGCGGUGAAAUGCUUAGAUAUGACAUAGAACACCAAUUGCGAAGGCAGCUCACUACACGAGCAUUGACUCUGAGGCACGAAAGCGUGGGGAUCAAACAGGAUUAGAUACCCUGGUAGUCCACGCCCUAAACUAUGGAUACUCGACAUACGCGAUACACUGUGUGUGUCUGAGCGAAAGCAUUAAGUAUCCCACCUGGGAAGUACGACCGCAAGG
rnacentral:rRNA from 1 species